GACGAACGCUGGCGGCGUGCUUAACACAUGCAAGUCGAACGGUAAGGCCCUUCGGGGUACACGAGUGGCGAACGGGUGAGUAACACGUGGGUGAUCUGCCCUGCACUUCGGGAUAAGCCUGGGAAACUGAGCCUAAUACCGGAUAGGACUCCUGGCUUCAUGGUUGGGGGUGGAAAGCUUUUGCGGUGUGGGAUGGGCCCGCGGCCUAUCAGCUUGUUGGUGGGGUGAUGGCCUACCAAGGCGACGACGGGUAGCCGGCCUGAGAGGGUGACCGGCCACACUGGGACUGAGAUACGGCCCAGACUCCUACGGGAGGCAGCAGUGGGGAAUAUUGCACAAUGGGCGCAAGCCUGAUGCAGCGACGCCGCGUGAGGGAUGACGGCCUUCGGGUUGUAAACCUCUUUCAGCACCGACGAAGCGCAAGUGACGGUAGUAGCAGAAGAAGGACCGGCCAACUACGUGCCAGCAGCCGCGGUAA
rnacentral:rRNA from 1 species